rnacentral:rRNA from 1 species
UACGGAGGAUCCGAGCGUUGUCCGGAUUUAUUGGGUUUAAAGGGUGCGUAGGCGGUUUUAUAAGUCAGUGGUGAAAGACUCUCGCUCAACGAGAGGGAUGCCAUUGAUACUGUAGAACUUGAGUACUGUAGAGGUAGGCGGAAUUGGUAGUGUAGCGGUGAAAUGCAUAGAUACUACCAGGAACACCGAUUGCGAAGGCAGCUUACUGGAGAGUAACUGACGCUGAGGCACGAAAGCGUGGGGAUCAAACAGG